rnacentral:other from 1 species
CGUUCCCUGCGAUGCUCGUGAUGGGCAUUAAGUCUUGAGCCAACACCCAUCGUUAGGGAGCCAAGUUUGGCUACAGACUUUGUCUGUAGUUGACAGGCGCCCACUUUAACCUUGGGUUCAGAGACUUUUUCCCACACGGCAUCUGCGGGGACUUU